GAUCCUGGCUUAGGAUGAACGCUAGCGACAGGCUUAACACAUGCAAGUCGAGGGGCAGCAUAGAAGUAGCAAUACUUGGUGGCGACCGGCGCACGGGUGAGUAACGCGUAUGCAACCUACCUAUCAGAGGGGAAUAACCCGGCGAAAGUCGGACUAAUACCGCAUAAAACAGGGGCACCGCAUGGUGAUAUUUGUUAAAGAAAUUCGCUGAUAGAUGGGCAUGCGUUCCAUUAGGUAGUUGGUGAGGUAACGGCUCACCAAGCCGACGAUGGAUAGGGGAACUGAGAGGUUGGUCCCCCACACUGGUACUGAGACACGGACCAGACUCCUACGGGAGGCAGCAGUGAGGAAUAUUGGUCAAUGGGCGGGAGCCUGAACCAGCCAAGUCGCGUGAAGGAAGAAGGACCUAUGGUUCGUAAACUUCUUUUGCAGGGGAAUAAAGUGCAGGACGUGUCCUGUUUUGUAUGUACCCUGAGAAUAAGGAUCGGCUAACUCCGUGCCAGCAGCAGC
rnacentral:rRNA from 1 species